UGACGUCAUCAACACAACAGCCAGGCAACUCCUGAGAGCCGUCUUGGUCGCGUCUAACUUGUAACACUCCUAAAUCUUGUGUGAACCUCAACAGUGACUUGUCCCACCCUGCAACAGCACCUGUGCAAUCUUCGCAAGGCGUAAAGACCUUCGCACAAACUAGUGAAGAAAGCUGCAUUUGCAAGCGGCAGCUCUACGAUGAAGGUGACAUAAAGAGGACAGCUUGUCAAGCCAUUGGGUUAUAAGAGUUUGAUGGGAGUUUUAAUCUCUUGACUUGCACAAGAUUUUCGACUAAUUAAAUAAAAGCAAAGCAGAUUAGUAAUAUGGAUUCCACCAGCCCCAAAAGAGUAAAGAGGUAUAGGCGUGAAGACCCAAAGUCCAGUGAUGAGGAAGAUGAUUAUGAGCCUUAUGUUCCAGUCAGGGAGCGUAAGAAGCAAAAGCUAAAGCAGAUACUAAAAAUCUCACAGGAUGAUGAUGAAAGCGGUGGUGUUAGUGGUCAUGAGAAGGAUGGAGAGACCAAGGAGGAGGAUGUUCAGGAAAUGGCCCGCAAGAAUAACAUUUCUCUCCUUGACCAACACACUGAACUUAAAAAGAUUGCUGAAGCUCGCAAGGAAUCUGAGUUGGAGAAACAGCGUCGAGAAGAAAAGCGACUCUUGGAAGCUGUUGCAGAGAAGCGAGCACUAAUGGGUGUUUCUGAAUUGGCCCGUGGUGUACAGUAUGAGGAUCCAGUUGUAACAGCUUGGAAUCCUCCCAAACGUGUCCUGGCGAUGGACAACAAGCGCCACGAAAGAGUUCGCAGGAAAUACAAGAUCAUGGUAGAAGGAGAAGACGUUCCUCCUCCACUUAAGAGUUUUGCUGAUAUGAAAUUCCCACGAUGUGUUAUUAAAGCACUCCAGAAAAAGGGAAUAGAGAAGCCUUCCCCAAUUCAGAUGCAGGGUAUCCCAGCAACUUUGAAGGGUAGAGAUAUGAUCGGCAUUGCGUUCACUGGCAGCGGGAAGAGUAUGGUGUUUAUUUUACCUAUUGUUAUGUUUUGCCUAGAACAAGAAAAGAAGAUUCCGUUUAUGAACAAUGAAGGUCCAUAUGGUCUCAUUAUUGUUCCAUCCCGUGAGUUGGCAAAACAGAUAAAGGACAACAUAGACGAGCUCUGCAAAUUUGUUGAAGCUGAUGGAUUUCCAGAACUAAGAACUUGCCUUGCAAUUGGUGGAGAACCUGUUGUGACAGCACUUCAAACAAUUCGGAAAGGAGUACAUAUUAUGGUGUGCACACCUGGUCGGCUGAUUGACAUGCUUAACAAGAAGAUGGUGCGUCUAGAUGUGUGUAGAUACUUGGUUAUGGACGAGGCUGACAGAAUGAUCGACAUGGGAUUUGAAGAAGAUGUUCGAACUAUAUAUUCAUACUUCAAAGCACAGAGACAAACACUCUUGUUCUCGGCCACUAUGCCUAAGAAGAUCCAAAACUUUGCUCGGUCUGCCUUGGUAAAGCCUGUCACAGUAAAUGUUGGUCGAGCUGGAGCUGCCUCUAUGCAGGUCAUUCAAGAAGUGGAAUAUGUGAAGCAGGAAGCCAAGGUGACACACAUUCUGACCUGCCUCAACAAAACAUCUCCCCCUGUCCUGAUCUUUGCUGAGAAGAAACAGGAUGUUGAUCUUAUACAAGAAUACCUAUUGCUAAAAGGUGUCACGGCUGCAGCCAUUCAUGGCGGCAAAGAUCAGGAAGAGAGAUCUGCUGCUGUUCAAGCUUUUCAGAGAGGAGAUAAGGAUGUGCUGGUUGCUACUGAUGUGGCCUCAAAGGGACUUGACUUCCCAGGCAUCCAACAUGUCAUUAAUUAUGAUAUGCCAGAUGACAUAGAAAAUUACGUACAUCGAAUUGGACGUACUGGUCGGUCUGGGCAGCAAGGAGUGGCCACAACAUUCAUCAACAAAGCAAAUGAUGAGUCGGUAUUGUUGGAUCUCAAACAUUUGCUAAUUGAGGCCAAGCAGAAGGUUCCACCAUUCUUGACAAUGGCAGGAGGUGGAGAAGAAGACCUGGAUACUCUUGAAGCAAAUGGAGGAGAUGAACGUGGAUGUUCAUACUGUGGUGGUCUUGGCCAUCGCAUUACAUCCUGUCCUCGCUUGGAAGCCAUGCAGAAUAAGCAAGCGGCAGGAAUUGGGCGUAAAGAUUAUCUAGCUGCAAAUGCUGCCGACUAUUAGUCAAGGAUUCUGUCUGUUACAUUUCAUCUUGUUCGUGAUGCAACACCUCUGACGUUCAUGGUGUUGGCGACCAAGUCCCCGAGUGAUGGAAGAUCGGAGUCCGUAGCCCUGGCUACAUUGGGCCCAGACCAGACUCCUUUGUUGACUCUCCCAACUGGCCCUCUCUGCCCCCCUCCCACUUCCAUGGCAGGGUUGAGCCCCAAGAUCCCAGUGGGGACCACCUCGUCACCUAGAUUGACCCUAUCUCUUGUGAUAACGGGGCCUUUUAACCCCCUCAUGCUGGGGGAGCUUGGUCUUGAACUUCUCGCAGUCGAAUGUGCAUGAUUUCACCAAACUCGUUUACAUUCAAGGAUUUGUUUGAUCCUGCCAGGUGGUCUUACGUAUUUUGAUCUUUCUCACAUUGAUCAUGCAUGUCUUGAUGAUUUACACACCUAUAAACACCUGGUUGAUUCAGUUGAUAUUCAUGUAACUUUUAACCUCACCCAGACUGACACACGUGUAGUUGCAGCCCCUUCUCAGGAGGCAGAAGACUUUUGGCAUUGUUGACUUGCACUGGUAAGACGCCUGUUCGAGUCUCCAAAAAUGCCCAGGUUUUGGCAUUGGCACAAUCAUUCUCCCACAUCAUGUCGUAACUGGUGAUAGAGCUAAAAGUCUGCCACAAAGAUAUUAAAUAUAUUCUCCAGAUUGAUAAGUUUACUCGACCCCCUCGUGGUGGUAGUUGUCAGCCUUUUCGGUAGUCAAAAUCACUUUUGAUAGUAGGUCCCUUCUGUCUUCUGUUGUUCUUGCAGGUUUUUUAGAUGCUCCAGUCAGGAAUAAAUCCCCUCUCCUCACUUAUGUAAUAGAUGAUGGAAAUUUGGACCUGAUUUUUUGCGAUGCACUGGUGAGGUGUGUAUGUGCUUCCCUGUGUGGAGUCCCAGACACCCAGCCUCCCUGCAUCAAUUGUGGUGAUGCCCUCCUGACUUCUCCCACUUCACCCCGCUCUUCUUUCACUACAAAUUUGAGGAAGCUAUUCUUAAACAUCAUGACUUCUCAUGUGUUGGAGCACACUUUUCCUUCCCACCCUUCUCUCCUUUUUCAAUUCCACAAUCAUUUCCAGGCUUUAGACCCCCCAAUACCUCCACCAGCUCCCCAUCUUCCGCUCCUCUCCACUCUGACCCUGAGGAUCUUUCACACGGUUCACCACCUAGUGUUUCCACCAUUCCCUCCCAGUCUUCUGCUGCCAUCUUUCCACCUCCCUCUUCUCUGUCCCAUGGCCUUACCUUCCCACCCCUAUCAUUCUUCUUGGCCCUUUUCUCUGUCUUUUGGCCUAACCCUCCUGGCCAGUGUCCAUCCUUUUCCCGGUUGUCUUCAUGUUGUCUGCUCUCAUUGUUCCUCUCUUGCUGAGACUGUGGAAGCUGGUACAUGUUAUUGUUGCUGGCACACCUGUAUCUCAGUCAGAAGCAUAAACCUGGUUCCUCCCCAGCACGCAAGAAGGCAUCAAUCCAUCACCUGGUUUCUACCUCCGUCCCUGUCUGACUCCACGGAGUCGAAUGAUCCCCGCUAUCCCAUGGCCCUUGAUUCUUCCUCUGACAAUGUCUUUGAUAAAGUGCACUCCACUGUUUCUGUCCUUUCCCCAUUCUCUUGACUGUCAAUCUCAGAGUCUUCAAUCUCAAUCUUCCCACCCCAGACUGUCAGAUUUUGUCCCCUUCAUCUGCCCAAUUCAAUCAUCUUUGCUUAAUUUACCUAUGCGCCCCAACGCCCUGAUUUCACUGAACCUGAGCCUUCUCUAUUAUCCUGUGUUCAUCUUUGUAUAAGUUUUUUCUUUUCUCCCCCAUUAUCUCUGUUUUUGACUGUAUUCAUUAACAGAAUAUUCAUGGCUUUGUACUAACUUCCAUGAACUCCAACUUCUGAUCUCUCAGUUUAUGCAGCUUUGUGUAGGUCUCCAGGAGCUGGUGCUUGGCACUCAUGCAAACAAUGGUCACAAUAACAUGUCUGAAGAUAUGAUGACCAAACGACGCAUCAGAAAGUGAAGAAAGAUGACUUUUGGUCCUUUCUGGAUCAUUAUCAAGCCAUGUGAAAGAAUGAAUGAAGAGUACGAUGAAUGUAAGAACAAAAGGAAGGCAAAUAUAAAAAAGUUGGGUAGGAAUAAGCAACAGGGGCAAAGCUUAAGCAAGAUCAUGUUUGUUAAGAGCAUUUCAUACUUUUGCAUGCCCAGCGGGCGACCCGCCGCGCAACGCAAAGUAGGCCAAGCAUUGGGUGUGAGUGCGCACACAACACUCAAAUGUUUAUACUCAUUUUGGCUUUUUCACCUCAAUUUAUGUGCUAUGUCAUUCAUUUUGGUAACAAAUUUCUUCACAAUAUCACAGCGCACAUUUUAAAAUCAGUCCCAUAAUAUUCGGACUAUAAAUGGAAUUUUUACAAAUUUAUUAAUUGAUGUCGGCAUUACCAUCAUCAGGGCCUCUGCAUAUUUCAGUUUUAUGGUGUCGAGACCAUCAUCAGAAUGCGAAAGUGUUAAAUGUUCUAACCUAAACGCAGUGCAUACUUAAAUACUCUUAACCUAAUUAACAAACGUGAUCUGACUUGAGCUUUGCCCCUGUUGCUUAUUCCUACCGUCUUUUCUUAUUCUAACCUUCCUCCUAUUCUUACCUUGCUUUUUCCUGCUCCCAAAACGUUAUCGUUUCUUCACUUUCUGAUGCGUCAUUUGGUCAUUGUAUCUUCAGGCAUGUUAUUGUGACUCAUCAUCUGCAUCAGUGCCAAGCAUUGGCUCCUGGAGACCUACACAAAGUGGUGAAAACUGAGAGAUCAGAAGUUGGAGUUCAAGGAAGUUAGCAUAAAAGCCAUGAAUAUUCCAC